rnacentral:rRNA from 1 species
CAGAGGGGGCAAGCGUUGUUCGGAAUUACUGGGCGUAAAGGGCGCGUAGGCGGCCGCCUAAGUCAGACGUGAAAUCCCUCGGCUCAACCGGGGAACUGCGUCUGAUACUGGGUGGCUUGAAUCCGGGAGAGGGAUGCGGAAUUCCAGGUGUAGCGGUGAAAUGCGUAGAUAUCUGGAGGAACACCGGUGGCGAAGGCGGCAUCCUGGACCGGCAUUGACGCUGAGGCGCGAAAGCCAGGGGGGCAAACGGGAUUAGAUACCCCGGUAGUCCUGGCCCUAAACGAUGAGUGCUUGGUGUGGCGGGUAUCGAUCCCUGCCGUGCCGAAGCUAACGCAUUAAGCACUCCGCCUGGGGAGUACGGUCGCAAGGCUG